rnacentral:rRNA from 1 species
GGACUACCGGGGUAUCUAAUCCUGUUUGCUCCCCACGCUUUCGCGCCUCAGCGUCAGUUGCGAGCCAGAAAGUCGCCUUCGCCACUGGUGUUCUUCCUAAUAUCUACGAAUUUCACCUCUACACUAGGAAUUCCACUUUCCUCUCUCGCACUCAAGCUUUCCAGUAUGAAACGCACCUCCUGGGUUAAGCCCAGGGCUUUCACGCCUCACUUAAAAAACCGCCUACGCGCCCUUUACGCCCAGUCAUUCCGAACAACGCUAGCCCCCUCCGUCUUACCGCGGCUGCUGGCAC